rnacentral:rRNA from 1 species
CCUACGGGUGGCAGCAGUGAGGAAUAUUGGUCAAUGGGCUUACGCCUGAACCAGCCAAGUCGCGUGAGGGAAGACUGCCCUAUGGGUUGUAAACCUCUUUUGUCAGGGAGCAAUUGGCGCUACGUGUAGCGUUAUCGAGAGUACCUGAAGAAAAAGCAUCGGCUAACUCCGUGCCAGCAGCCGCGGUAAUACGGAGGAUGCGAGCGUUAUCCGGAUUUAUUGGGUUUAAAGGGUGCGUAGGCGGAAGGUUAAGUCAGCGGUCAAAUGUCGGUGCUCAACACCGGCCUGCCGUUGAAACUGGUCUUCUUGAGUGAGCGAGAAGUAUGCGGAAUGCGUGGUGUAGCGGUGAAAUGCAUAGAUAUCACGCAGAACUCCGAUUGCGAAGGCAGCAUACCGGCGCUCAACUGACGCUGAGGCACGAAAGCGUGGGGAUCGAACAGGAUUAGAUACCCCAGUAGUC